AUGCACGUCUUCCUCGCGAUUUGAUGGAAAAAUUGAUCAUUCCGGAUCAUUUCUUUAGCUUUUUUUCGUUCAACGAUAAACAAAGAAAAAUAAAACGAGGAAAUGAAUCAAUUGUUCAGUCGUACGCUGUAUGUUUUUGUUAAUAAUAGAAGAGGAAGCUACGUAUUGAUGAUGGAUGGAGUUGAAAUUUUUCCUAGUUAAUUUCUCGUGCAUGUUGGCAGACGGCAAAGCUGUAAUAACAAAAACUACUGUUGAGUUAGCUCUGCUAUCUUCUUUUGGUCGUUCUUGCAGACCGUGCUGUGAAAAUGGAUCUAAGAAAGAAGCAAUUGGAGUCAGCAAUAUUCAUUUGUGAGUCUGGGUUAGUCUACACUGACUUCAGUGAUUUCUUUUGAUGAGGUGACCACUUGAACCCGGCAAUGACGAUGGCUGUGGCCGUGGCCAAAGAUUUCCACUGGACCUUACGCAGUUAACGCGGCUCGGGAUUUGGCUCACCGGUUAGUCACGUAUUUUGGAGGAUGGGAGCUCGGCGUAUUUAGUUAAAGCUUUCGCUGCUACAUUUGGUUCUGGAUUGUACGCUUUACCCUACUUAAAAGUUUCAAUAAUUUAUAGCCUGUGAUGAAGUCCGUUACGGUGUUUCAACAUUUUUGUUCCAUAACGGUGUGUGCUACUUUCGUGAAAAACAGUCCAUUGUUCACGAUCAGCUGAUCCCGAUGCAAACGGUCUUCCUGCCUUUGGCGUUACCGCUUUGAUAGCUACAGAAGAAUCCCUUUGUUCACAGAUUCUUUGCCAGUAUAAACAAGUCGUACAUCUGCCGGAAUGCUGAAACAAGCCAUCGAAUCAUUGACAUUGACAUUGACCAUUUCGAAAAAUGGAUGUGGUCUGAUUGUUGCCAGUGCAGCUGUUGCUGCAAGUCUCUACGUUUUGGCCAGCAAAGUGUACACCCCUCACGAGAAGUCUCAGCUAAGG